AUUGAACGCUGGCGGCAGGCCUAACACAUGCAAGUCGAGCGGAGCGGCGGCCGCGUGAGUAAUGCCUAGGACUCUGCCUGGUCGUGAGGGAUGACGUCCGGAAACGGGCGCUAAUACCGCAUACUCUCAGCUGAGCCUAGGUCGGGUUAGCUAGUUGGUGGGGUAAGGGCAUACCAAGGCGACGAUCCGUAACUGGUCUGAGAGGAUGAUCAGUCACACUGGAACUGAGACACGGUCCAGACUCCUACGGGAGGCAGCAGUGGGGAAUAUUGGACAAUGGGCGAAAGCCUGAUGCAGCCAUGCCGCGUGUGUGAAGAAGGUCUUCGGAUUGUAAAGCACUUUAAGCUGGGAGGCGUUACCAACAGAAUAAGCACCGGCUAACUCCGUGCCAGCAGCCGCGGUAAUAC
rnacentral:rRNA from 1 species